CCUACGGGAGGCAGCAGUGGGGAAUCUUGCGCAAUGGGCGAAAGCCUGACGCAGCAACGCCGCGUGCGGGAAGAAGGCCUUCGGGUUGUAAACCGCUUUCAGCAGGAACGAAAAUGACGGUACCUGCAGAAGAAGGAGCGGCCAACUACGUGCCAGCAGCCGCGGUGACACGUAGGCUCCAAGCGUUGUCCGGAUUUAUUGGGCGUAAAGAGCUCGUAGGCGGUUCAGUAAGUCGGGUGUGAAAACUCUGGGCUCAACCCAGAGCCUGCAUUCGAAACUGCUGUGACUAGAGUUUGGUAGGGGAGCGGGGAAUUCCUAGUGUAGCGGUGAAAUGCGCAGAUAUUAGGAGGAACACCGGUGGCGAAAGCGCCGCUCUGGGCCAAUACUGACGCUGAGGAGCGAAAGCGUGGGUAGCAAACAGGAUUAGAUACCCUGGUAGUCCACGCCGUAAACGAUGGGCACUAGGUGUGGGUUUCAACUAACGAAAUCCGUGCCGUCGCUAACGCAUUAAGUGCCCCGCCUGGGGAGUACGGUCGCAAGACUAAAACUUAAAGGAAUUGACGG
rnacentral:rRNA from 1 species